GGAGAAGCCCAGGCGGCCUAGAAUCCAGUGUCGUCCGUGAGUGCUUGGCUGGUGUUCAAGUGCAUCUUCCAGCCUGAGACCGCGUGGACUCGCUCAUCGUGAGGGCGAGAGGAGGAUAAGCCCAUUGGGCUGUCGGCUGAGAGUGAGGUGCGGGCAGAUUGCUGAUGAAAUCCUUGGCAUCGUCGGAGAUCUCAUCGAAUGCCUCGUCGUCGAAGUCCCAGGUGGCUGAGGUAACGUUGGCCAAGGUUUCGUUAUCGUUGUCUCCCAUGAAGGGGGAAAGGCCACUGACUCUGGAGAGACAAGAGCAGGACAGCAGGUGUGGCUAGGAGAGGGCGCGACGACC
rnacentral:lncRNA from 1 species